UGGAGUAUGGUGUAGUGGUAGCACGAAGGCCUCUGACUCCUUCGGUGUAGGUUCGAUUCCUACUACUCCUGCCA
rnacentral:tRNA from 1 species